GUGUAUACAGCUAUAUUAUAUGCACACUCAGCCAAAUGCUUCAAAACCCAUUGGACGGCAGGUGGACAAUGAUCCGAAGCAUACUGAAAGCAGUCCAAGUGUUUUAUAAGGAAAGCAAGUGGAAUGUUCAGGUCAAUCGUCUGACCUGAAUCCAACUGAUCUGCAUUUCACAUGCUGAAGGUAAGACUCAAGACAAAAGACCUCAAGAACAAGCAGGAAGUGAAGACAGCUGUAGUAGGCCUGGUAGAACAUCACUUGGCAGAUCAUCACCAGGGGGGGGGAUGCCCCAGCAACGUUUUGAAUUCUCUUCAAUGAUUUGGUACGGAUAUCCUGAUAACACCUGUACAGGCAGCUUGUUGAACACCUGGAAUAAAGAAGUGUGACAUCAUUCUUCAUAAAAACUGUUAGAACGCACCGAUUGGAUGUUGAGCUCAUUAUCUGGUUGCAGCAGCAGAAGCCUCUCAUCUAUUGCCCUCACUGAACACAGAGAACCCGGAGCAGCUUUCAGCAACAG